rnacentral:lncRNA from 1 species
GCCAUAUUGAUAGAAUAUAGAGAUUUUGGUGAAAAAAAUCUCCUCUAACAGCUUCUUAAACUAGAUCUCCAAAUAUUUUCGUCCACUAUUCAUAGUUACUCACUAGACAAAGAAAGAGCGCAAAGCUAGCUCUUCGAAGUACCGAACAAAAUAUAGAAGUUAUUGGAGUGUUGAGAUAUAUAGAUAAUUGGUUUAACAAAGAUGGUUGGAGAUAGGUAACUAAAGUUUUUCUAAUGUUGUUUGGAUACAUAGACU